GACGAACGCUGGCGGCGCGCUUCACACAUGCAAGUCGAACGAGAAGCCCGGGCUUGCCCGGGUGGAAAGUGGCGAACGGGUGAGUAACACGUGAGCAACCUGCCCCGAAGACCGGGAUAACACCGGGAAACCGGUGCUAAUACCGGAUGUCCUCGCCGAACCGCAUGAUUCGGCGAGGAAAUGGUCAGCCGCUUCGGGAUGGGCUCGCGGCCUAUCGGCUUGUUGGUGGGGUCACGGCCCACCAAGGCGACGACGGGUAGCUGGUCUGAGAGGAUGUCCAGCCACACUGGGACUGAGACACGGCCCAGACUCCUACGGGAGGCAGCAGUGGGGAAUCUUGCGCAAUGGGCGAAAGCCUGACGCAGCGACGCCGCGUGCGGGAUGAAGGCCUUCGGGUUGUAAACCGCUUUCAGCAGGGACGAAAUUGACGGUACCUGCAGAAGAAGCCCCGGCCAACUACGUGCCAGCAGCCGCCGUAAUAC
rnacentral:rRNA from 1 species